AGUGAACGCUGGCGGUAGGCCUAACACAUGCCAGUCGAACGGCAGCACAGUAAGAGCUUGCUCUUACGGGUGGCGAGUGGCGGACGGGUGAGGAAUACAUCGGAAUCUACUUUUUCGUGGGGGAUAACGUAGGGAAACUUACGCUAAUACCGCAUACGACCUACGGGUGAAAGCAGGGGAUCUUCGGACCUUGCGCGAUUGAAUGAGCCGAUGUCGGAUUAGCUAGUUGGCGGGGUAAAGGCCCACCAAGGCGACGAUCCGUAGCUGGUCUGAGAGGAUGAUCAGCCACACUGGAACUGAGACACGGUCCAGACUCCUACGGGAGGCAGCAGUGGGGAAUAUUGGACAAUGGGCGCAAGCCUGAUCCAGCCAUACCGCGUGGGUGAAGAAGGCCUUCGGGUUGUAAAGCCCUUUUGUUGGGAAAGAAAAGCAGCAGGUUAAUACCCCGCUGUUCUGACGGUACCCAAAGAAUAAGCACCGGCUAAAUUCGUG
rnacentral:rRNA from 1 species